GAUGAACGCUAGCUACAGGCUUAACACAUGCAAGUCGAGGGGCAGCAGGGAUUUAGCUUGCUAAAUCGCUGGCGACCGGCGCACGGGUGACGUAACGCGUAUCCAACUUUCCCGUUACUCAGGGAUAGCCUUCCGAAAAGGGAGAUUAAUACCUGAUGGUGUUUGAAAUUCGCAUGUUCUUCAAACUAAAGAUUUAUCGGUAACGGAUGGGGAUGCGUGACAUUAGGUAGAUGGCGGGGUAACGGCCCACCAUGCCCACGAUGUCUAGGGGUUCUGAGAGGAAGGUCCCCCACACUGGAACUGAGACACGGUCCAGACUCCUACGGGAGGCAGCAGUGAGGAAUAUUGGUCAAUGGUCGGAAGACUGAACCAGCCAAGUAGCGUGAAGGAUGAAGGUUCUAUGGAUUGUAAACUUCUUUUAUACGGGAAUAAAACACCUUACGUGUAGGGUCUUGUAUGUACCGUAUGAAUAAGCAUCGGCUAACUCCGUG
rnacentral:rRNA from 1 species